CCACGGUGAAAAGGGUGUUAAAUGAAGACUUAGGGCUUCGGGCAUAUCGAAGAAAAACAGGACAACGUUUGAAGCUCGUCUAAUGGA
rnacentral:pre_miRNA from 1 species